AAACCAUAGUGACGGCAUCUUUGUACCAGCGACUUGAAUCACUCACAAGCUUCAUGAAUGUUUUCUCCCUCUCAUUUCUUAAAUGUGGAAAUCUCUCUUCUUAGUUG
rfam:Gossypium arboreum cultivar AKA8401 contig_19863_3, whole genome shotgun sequence.